rnacentral:rRNA from 1 species
CAGCAGCCGCGGGAAUACAGAGGGUGCGAGCGUUAAUCGGAUUUACUGGGCGUAAAGCGUGCGUAGGCGGCUUUUUAAGUCGGAUGUGAAAUCCCUGAGCUUAACUUAGGAAUUGCAUUCGAUACUGGGAAGCUAGAGUAUGGGAGAGGAUGGUAGAAUUCCAGGUGUAGCGGUGAAAUGCGUAGAGAUCUGGAGGAAUACCGAUGGCGAAGGCAGCCAUCUGGCCUAAUACUGACGCUGAGGUACGAAAGCAUGGGGAGCAAACGGGAUUAGAGACCCCAGUAGUCCCUGUCUCUUAUAC